rnacentral:rRNA from 1 species
ACAGCAGUCGCCGCGGUAAUACGGAGGAUCCAAGCGUUAUCCGGAAUCAUUGGGUUUAAAGGGUCCGUAGGCGGUCUUGUAAGUCAGUGGUGAAAGCCCAUCGCUCAACGGUGGAACGGCCAUUGAUACUGCAGGACUUGAAUUAUUGGGAAGUAACUAGAAUAUGUAGUGUAGCGGUGAAAUGCUUAGAGAUUACAUGGAAUACCAAUUGCGAAGGCAGGUUACUACCAAUUGAUUGACGCUGAUGGACGAAAGCGUGGGUAGCGAACAGGAUUAGAUACCCCUGUAGUCCCUGUCUCUUAUAC